CACCAAGGGGAUUGUUUAUUUUCCCUUCAAAGAGAACCAGUUCCAGAGCAAAGAGGAGGAUUCAACUCCCAUCAAGGAAGAACAGCCAAGAGCCGAGCGUAUAUUAUGGACCUGAGAUCCCUGCACUGAGAAGCUCCUAGAAGCAGGAGACUGAGAUAGAGAGAGGAAGCUGUAACCCUGAAGAUGCUUAAAUACAGACCAGAAGAGGAGUUUGGGGCUUGACACCUGACAUCUUAACACCUGUUCCUGUUUCUUGAGGAAGGAAGAGGUAAAAUAAAUCAGCGUUUACUGUUUCCUUCUCCAUCCCCGGAAGUCCUGAUGAAGACCCUCUCAGCUUCAACUUGAACGUGAAUAUGAGCAACUGAUCAUCUGUUCUGCAGUCAGCCCCUGGCCUGAUUCUGACUCAUGAUAUUGACCAAGUGAAGAGUGAUUCAGAGAAAAACAUGGGUAGAGUGUGACCUAAUUUCCAUAAAAACAAACAAAUGAAUGUACUUACAUGUGUCCCGGCAAAAAGAAGUGUGUAAAAGGGUACAUAUGUAUCUUUGGACACUGGACACUUUGGGGGAGCAGGUACAAUAUACUUAUGUGGGGAUGGCUCUUAUUAUAACUUCUGUAUACAAAUCUCUAUUGUUAAAUGUGUUAUAAGAAUGUAAAAGCUUUUAAAGUUUAAUAACAUCAUACGUGUAUGUGUGUGUAUUUGAAACUUUUUUUCUUUUGACUAUUUUAUAUAUGUGUUUUUUAGUUAUCUAGUUUUUUUUUUGGUGUGGCUAUAGCAGAGAUACCACAAGUGGAUGGCUUUAACAAACAGAAACUUAUUCUCUCACAGUUUAAGAAGCAACAGGUUUGAAGUCAGGGCACCAGGUCUAGGAGAAAGCUUUCUCUCUUUGUGGCUCUGGGGGAAGGUCCUUGUCAUCUAUCUUCCCCUGGCCUAGGAA